GCAGCCCGGCGGACGCGAACGGAAAAGGGAGUUCCGAAAUGCUACGGCGAGAGCAGGCAGCGCGCUCCCCGUGCCGCCGCCACCGCAUCCAGAGACCGCGAACGAAUCAUCUCCGGCGGAUGAGGACGACUCCACUAAUACAGAAACGGGGAUGGACUGGCUGAGUGAGGAUCGGUCACGUUGCGCAAUACGUGCCGUGCGGGAGCGCAGGAGCCGCAGCCAGCCGACGACGUCAAGGGGCGCGUGUGACUCGGCGCAUCUCAUCUGUAUUGGAGACAGUGAGCAUCGCCGGGCAAACAUGUGAAUGUGAUGCUCCUGCAGGGAGAGAGCUGGCAAAAAGCAGAGCAGAAGAAAACAUGGCACGCUAGCAACAUUUUGUUCUGGGGGGAAAAAAAAUCAAAAAGAUAAAAUAAAAUUCUGAACACCUGAGACCAAAGAGUAUGUUCCAGCAGCCUGCUGUGUCCCAGAAUGCGAGAUCAGAUGUAAGCAGCGACAUUUAUCAUGAUGAAGGUUUGGGAAAUUUCAGAAACACAUAUCUGACACUGUCUGUCUCAGCCUUUCCCAGGUGGAGAAUCCAAGUUGGAGAAAUGCCAGUCCGUGUAAUCCAUGUGUGUCCCCGUCUCAAGACAGAUUCCCUCAGUAUCUCAAGGCACACUCUAUGAUGUGUAGCUGAGAUGCAGAUCCCACAUGGAGCCAUCAGACUGGAGCAGGACAGACCAUCGUAGUUGGGAGGGGGUGUAAAAAUAUGGUUCUUCUUUUAAUAAUCCCCCAAGUAACAACCAUCCCCAUUACAUGACUUCUUAGCCAAUACUGUACAAGUGGUGAUUGGUCGAGUUGGCUAAGGGUCUGCGUCUGUGAGUGGAAGGUUGCUGGCUCAGGUCCCAGUCUCGGUGGGACAGUUGCGUGUCUGCGAGCCCUUGAGGAAGGCCCUUAACUACAAGCCCCAGGGGUGCUGAACACUGGCUGCCCCUCUGCUGUGACCCCCGAGAUUGCUCUCAACUGCAUAUGUGGCUCAUGGACAGCAAGACAGGGUAAAACAAAAAAUAAACCCUAUGAAAGUGAAGGCACCUCAUCUGUAGACAUACAGUACAUGCAUGCACUGUUUUGUAAAAGUAUGUAACUGUCUAAGUUUGGAAGUUUGGAAAAAGUUCAAUAGAACCAGUAGAAAUUGACUUCCCCAGACAAUAAUUACUAAGCAAUGCUGUGCUGUAUUUAUUUUCUCUCACAUUGAAGCUUGUGAGGAUUUGAAAUUAUUUUAAUGAGCAUCCCCAGUGAAGUGCUUCCUUCACUGUAUAUUGCUGUCUGCAUAAUGUACUCUACAUAGUUACAGUGUUGUUCAUUCUGCUGCUGAUGUGGAAAAUGAUUUGCUGGCCUUACAGGGAAAAACUAAUCACUGAAGUGAACUCUUUGACCUUUGAUCAGUUUUAGUUCAACUCAGUGUGCUUGAGUACUUUCCCCAAAUACAAAGACAAAAAGUGGAAUCAGGAAACCUCAAAUCUGCAACCUGCCAACCCAUGAAGACACAUCAGAUAGAGAACAGAUGCACUAGGUAGCCGAUUGCUGCUAUGAAGAAGGAUAAAAUUCAAAGUCUAAAGAUAGAUACAGACGUUUCAGUCUUAGAGUAUGCAAUGUUUAAUGGGAAAGAUUAUUUAGGAACUGAACGUUUUUAAUGUCGCAUUUAGAGUAAACAGAAGCUUGUGCACAUCUCGCUUUCAUUAAAUGAGCUAAGAGUGUUUGAGGAAAUAUAAUUUACAUUUAUUAAUUGGACGAGUGCUUUACUUGAAAGAGGCCAACAGGUCAGUGUAAACAAUAAGUGCAGCUAGAUGACAGAUCAUCUCACAAAUGCCCUUUAUGGGCGCUCUCUCACCGCUAAGUCCUGAUGCCUUUUUAGCAGCUCGCCGAUGCUGACGUGGGAUGGCCGCGAGCCUGCAGGUUAAUGACAGCCACGUACUGACCAGCUUCCCAUCCAUCUGGAGUCAUCAUGGUGCUCAGCCGUUUCCUGCUGCCCUGCCUUCUCUGCAGCCUGGAUCAGAGGGAUCAGGCCUGACUACGAAAGGUCGGGCUAUCUGAGGAAAUCGGCAGACCUCACGAAAAACCGGCCUCCUGCCAUCAGCCCCCCCCCCGCACACCACCUUGUUCGGCAGCUGUAAGUCAGCACCUUUCCGGACAGCGCCGUGCUGAAAGAGGUCUCCGUCCCUUUAAUGCCAUUCACCUUUAUCCCUUGGGUUGUGUCUUGGCUGCUAUUCGCCUGCUAUUCUUAGGUUCAUUUCAUACUGCUGGAUAUGGAUUGGUGCCCCGAGGGCACAGGGAACACUUGCUUCUGUCAUGUAGCCUUGCAAUCCUCGGGGUAUUUCCAAUCCUUCUGGGACAGACAUGGAAGGUGGGGAAAUUCGUUUGUGAUUGGUCAGAUUCUGCACCUAUUCUUAACUCUUCUGCAAUAGUUAACAAAAUUUAUAGUAUAAUUGAAAAGUUUACUGUUUUUUUCUACUGAUAAACUUUCAUAUUGUUAGGAUAUUGCUUUUUGUAGUUUUUUUCCUUUAAAGGAAGUUAUGUGAGAAUAAAUUGAAUUUAAUUGAUAUUGCAUUGAAGAGCAAACAAUCCAAAAGCAGAACAAGGUGCGUUUAAUGAUACAAUCCAUCCAGGAAGCAGCAGAAAUGGAGCUGAAAUCCAAAUUCAGAGAUGAGAACAGAAAGUGGUCAGAGGACAGACAAGGGAAGCAUGUUCCUACAAAAUGAGGAAUCAGAAUCUGUUAAACAGAAAGAGGUCAGACAACAGGCAGAGCAGCAAAGCCAGACGGAACAAAAUAUAUCAAAUAUUGAAAGAAAUAUUUAGCAUAAGCAUAUGCAUAAGCCUCGGCUUAUUAAAAGAACUAGUCAACAAGUCUCCCAUUACCAGUUCUGUUCUAUGAAAAAAAUCAUUUUGCUUCCAUUUUAAAAUGUGAUCAUGAGGUGUGACGUCACAUCCAGUCUGGAAUCCAGUUCACUGGCCACCUGCCCCUGACGCGGUCACCCCCCCGUCCCCCUCCCGGCAGACAUUGUGCCACUGUGUGGCUGGUCUGAAAUCCCUGAAGUCAGACUGACUCCAUAUUGUGUUUGUGGGCAGCACUUACAUCAGUUAUUCUUUUAUUAUUAUAUAUAAGCGCAAGGAGAGACCAGCAUGCCUACAAUACUUCCUGCCACACAGAUGGACAUUGAGACAUUGAUUUUCAAUAUAAUAGUGUUAUUUUUGCAAUUAAAUUUUUUCUAUUUUGCUCUUGCUGUGGGGGAAACUGGACAUUUGGACUGAUUGUAGGGAUUUCUGAAAAUUUCUUCCUGGAUUUCUUCAUAUUUGCUCCAUAUGAAGCAGAAUUUGUUCCAGAUGGGAUUCCCACGUUUUUUAACAUUGUGUUGUUUUCUUGCUACUGUAAGUGUGAUAGGACAUCGGUCAUAUACAAAGAACUGAAUGGUGUGAUGUCAGCUGGGUGGCAGCCAAUUGGGUGAUUUCUAAGAAUCCAUAAUAUUCAGCAAUGGGACUACCAAUUAGACACUGCAAGCUGAGGUGCUGUUUUAAAAUACGUUUUAAUACAUAUCAUCACCAUCAUUAUUAUUAAUUACAGUAGCAACAACAACAAAAACAACAAUAAUAAUAAUGAUUUACCAUCUGUUUUGGCCUAAGUUGCCUUUUUAAUUUCAAUAAGAAUUUGAAUCACCGGACUCACAGCUCUUUGUGUAUCUUCCUAUCAUUGGUUUUAGCGCUGGGAUCCCAUUGGGGCUUCACAGUAGUAUAACUAUUUCAGACAGAAUAAUUAUACAGAAUAAAUGUAUAUUUAUUUUAUACUCAGAGCAGCAUUAAUGCCACCCAAAUUAUAUGAGAAUCAGACUUGCUGCAGUAUAACAGAUUUUAGAAUAUAUUUUGAAAAUGAACACUGCAACAUUUUUUUUUCUUCACCAAAUACUGAAUUCUGCCGGCCCAACUCUUUUGCAGAGUCACGUCCAAAAAGUUUAUAACUCAUAAAAGCGGCAGGUCAUUUUUGGAUGCUGUGAACUCUAUGGCAGUCAAUAUAGUUUAGGAAGAGAUAUGAAUCUGAUUAUGCAGACAUGUUCCAGUACUGUGCAAUCAUUGCUCAUUUUUUGGCUAAAGUAAAACCAGGAAAAAAGGUCAGACCUUGAUCUUUUCUUUGACUUAGCCCAGCCGCUCCUGUUCUAAAGCUUUUGGAUUUACAAUGUAAAUGGAGACCUUUUGAAUCUAUGGAAUUCUGGGUCAGAACAAGUUUUUAUUUUGGCUCGGCAGAAAUGUCCCAUCCACCUCCGGGGUCCGUGUGCUGGACUCUGGCUUGGUUCCUCCAUGCACCUCCCUGGUACCACAUUAGUAUGCUAAAUGAGUUUAGCAGAAUCAAGUUUACCUCCAUUUAAAGAUGUGUGUUCAGGGUGAGUAUAGGGGUUGUUCUUAUCAGAGCUGAGUAAAUUAAGGUUAGGAAUACUAUAAACAUGGUCAGAGAAAAGUACACAAUGGCCAUGGCAAGUUUCAGAUUCCAAAUCAUAAAAAGGAUGACAUCAGUGAUAUUUCAAUCAGAAAGGGUGUUAUCCUUUUGUAUAGAAUGGUGAAAUAGUUAUAAAUGUAUAGGCCCUUUGAGAUUAUACUCAAAUUCAUACUUUUUCAUUCCUCUUAGGGUCACAAUGAAGUGAAACAUUGUAAACCAAAAAUUUAAAUAUGCAUUGUGGGAUUUGUUUACUUGCUGCAAAUCCCUUCACAACAUAACACCAAAUAAUACCAAAAUAACUUUUAAUACUUGAAUUAUCAGUGUUCCAAAAGAUGAUGUUUUGUGAGUGUAUUAAUCAUUUGAAUGCUAUUUUUCUUUGAUUUGUCCUCAGUCUUAAAACAUCAAUUAAAACCUGAGAGGUAAAAGUAUCAAAAAUACUUAAUAAAAGGCCUUCAUGGUUCCUAUUUAAUUGGCUAAAGGGCACCUCAAACCCCACAAUGAGUGGGACUCAAUGCCGGAGUGGCUAAUCGGGACAAUCAGGAGAAUUCCCUGCCGGCCACACAGGGUGUCCGUUACUGCUUACUCAGCUUUUCUCAAACUGGAUGGUGUGCGCUACCGGGAGGGCACAUGUGAUUCGGGCUGGGUGUGGAAUGAAUAUGCCCCCUCCUCCUCAAUUUCACCGAUCUGGGUUGUGACAUUGCUGACCUGAAGAGUCUCACUUUGAUCCUGGCUGUACUUGACCUGACUGUUUGUCCAGCACCAAGAGAGAAAACUAAGAUACCCUAUCGCCUUAAACUGAAGACAGGAAGACAUUUUACACUCUUUGGGACAGAUUUUAAGCUGUAAUUACUUAAUGGUUUUUAAAAAUUGUUAUAUAUUAUGCACAUUGCAUAAUAUACAUACUGCAUAAUAUUUUUUCAUUUGUUAUAUAUUGUUAUAUAACCCUAACAUUGCUGUAUAUUGUGCGUAUUGCACAAUAUGCAUAUAAUUAUAUAUUUGAUUACUGUAUGUUGCCUUGAAUUGUGGUUCUUAUGUUGAACAGGACCGAUUAUACCAAGGAAUAUUCACUGUACAUGAUAGUACCAUCCAGAUUCUGAUUUGAACAAGCCAGCAAAGAGGAUUAAAAGAAACCAUGUGCUGGUGUGCAGUGAGGGGAGAAACUCUCUGAAUGCAGUGUAGAUCAGGUGCUCCCAAAGUCUAGCCAGUAAAGAAAGGUGGACGUGGAAUUCUAAAAUGAGAGAUUUCAAGUACUGGAAAAAUUGUGGAAAUACAGGUUAAAAUGGGUGCAGAUGACUAGAGGCAAUCCUUGUGGGAAAAUCAACUCAGUCUGCAGAAGACAGAAAUGGAGACCCAACUUUCCGCAGGACAGCGACCCAAAAUAUAGAGUCAAAGAAACCUUAGUAUGCCCUACAGCAGCACAAUCAAGACAUGGACCUGUCAUAGACUGAGACCUGGGGGUAUGACCCUACGACUGAUACUGUACCCCUCACUGAUCUCCUUCCAGGUGCAGAUUUCCAGAGAAAGGAUGGGUGAAUUCUGAACUGUUAGAGACUUAACCUCACUGUAAUUGUAGCUAGUAGCAUGUCUAUGGGAAUCAGUACAUUUAAUAAUUAAUUUAAUAACUGCAUUUAAAAGUUUGUUUGUUUGUUUGUUUGUUUGUUUGUUUGUUUGGAAUCAAACGUCCCUUAUCUUAAUUUUCCUUAUCACAAUGAUGAGUAUGUUUUGUAACCACUUGGGGAGAACAAAUUAAAAGCAUAACAGGAUUUUUUUUUUCUUCAGAUUUCAAUGCAACAUUAUUUUAAUUAAUGUUCCUAUUUAAUUAAUGUUUAAUUAAUUAUCCCUGUAGGCACUGUAGGAUAUCUGGAAAAAGAGGAGAGAAAAAUGUUACACUUGUUUGGUCAGUAAAGAGCAAAAAUGGAAAUGUUUGAAAAUAUUUCUCCAUGAAGGAGAUCAGUAUUACAGCAAAAUAGAGCAAAGCCAGAUACAUGUUUAUGGAAAACUUGGUCUCAUUGCAAAUUCAGUUUUGCAAAUUUAAUUACACUUUAUGUAAUUUGCAUCUAUUUACAUCUUCUGCGUCAUUUGACUGUGAAUGCCCUAGAAGUUGCAAAUUUACAUAGGACACUUGCAAGCAAAAUCAGUCCUUUAGGGAUAAUGUGAUUCUUGGUUAUGUAUGUGUUCAAAAACAAAACUAAAUUAUAUCUAAAUGUACAGCUAUAAAACAAAUCACUGGCUGAAAUCUGGAUAGCUAUUUCUGUGAUCUUAUUUCAUUUAGAUGCUCUCUAAUUGCCAUUAUUUCAUUACACUGUUCCUCCAGAUCUUCUGAGUCUCCCAGACCACAAUGCAGGCUUUUGAAGUGGGGGCACUUUUUGAGCUCAAGAUGUGUGCAAAGUCUGCUUUUUACAUGCUGGUUAAAAUAAUAGUCCCAGACCACCUUUGUGUUAAUGUCCAAUAAAAAUCAACCUAGAGCAGAAA